UACGGAGGGGGCUAGCGUUGCUCGGAAUUACUGGGCGUAAAGCGCGCGUAGGCGGCUUUGCAAGUUAGAGGUGAAAGCCCGGAGCUUAACUCCGGAACUGCCUUUAAAACUGCAUCGCUAGAAUCGUGGAGAGGUGAGCGGAAUUCCGAGUGUAGAGGUGAAAUUCGUAGAUAUUCGGAAGAACACCAGUGGCGAAGGCGACUCACUGGACACGUAUUGACGCUGAGGUGCGAAAGCGUGGGGAGCAAACAGG
rnacentral:rRNA from 1 species